AUUGAACGCUGGCGGCAUGCUUUACACAUGCAAGUCGAACGGCAGCGCGGGCUUCGGCCUGGCGGCGAGUGGCGAACGGGUGAGUAAUACAUCGGAACGUGCCCAGUAGUGGGGGAUAGCUCGGCGAAAGCCGGAUUAAUACCGCAUACGACCUGAGGGUGAAAGCGGGGGAUCUUCGGACCUCGCGCUAUUGGAGCGGCCGAUGGCAGAUUAGCUAGUUGGUGGGGUAAAGGCCUACCAAGGCGACGAUCUGUAGCUGGUCUGAGAGGACGACCAGCCACACGGGGACUGAGACACGGCCAAGACUCCUACGGGAGGCAGCAGUGGGGAAUGUUGGACAAUGGGCGAAAGCCUGAUCCAGCAAUGCCGCGUGUGUGAUGAAGGCCUUCGGGUUGUAAAGCACUUUUGGCGGGAACGAAAAGGACUGUGCCAAUACCACGGUUCGAUGACGGUACCCGCAGAAUAAGCACCGGCUAACUACGUG
rnacentral:rRNA from 1 species